rnacentral:rRNA from 1 species
CAAGUCGCACGAGAAAGGGCUUCGGCCCCGGUACAGUGGCGCACGGGUGAGUAACACGUAGAUCAUCUCCCCUCGAGUGGUGGAUAACUCUCCGAAAGGAGAGCUAAUACAGCAUGAGACCACGGCUUCGUUGAAGCUGCGGCCAAAGCAGGCCUCUACAUGUAAGCUUGCGCUUGAGGAUGAGUCUGCGGCCCAUCAGCUAGUUGGUAGGGUAAUGGCCUACCAAGGCUAAGACGGGUAGCUGGUCUGAGAGGAUGAACAGCCACACUGGAACUGAGACACGGUCCAGACUCCUACGGGAGGCAGCAGUGGGGAAUCUUGCGCAAUGGGCGAAAGCCUGACGCAGCGACGCCGCGUGAGCGAUGAAGGCCUUCGGGUUGUAAAGCUCUGUGGGGAGGAAAGAAUAAGGUUUGGCUAAUAUCCAAACUGAUGACGGUACCUCCUUAGCAAGCACCGGCUAACUCUGUGCCAGCAGCCGCGGUAAGACAGAGGGUGCAAACGUUGUUCGGAAUUACUGGGCGUAAAGCGCGUGUAGGCGGCCCUGCAAGUCGGGUGUGAAAUCCCACGGCUCAACCGUGGAAGUGCACUCGAAACUGCAGGGCUAGAGUCCUGGAGAGGAAGGUGGAAUGCUUGGUGUAGAGGUGAAAUUCGUAGAUAUCAAGCGGAACACCGGUGGCGAAGGCGGCCUUCUGGACAGUGACUGACGCUGAGACGCGAAAGCGUGGGGAGCAAACAGGAUUAGAUACCCUGGUAGUCCACGCCGUAAACGAUGAGUGCUAGGUGUCACGGGCUUUGACCCUC